CCCUUAGAUGUUCUGGGCCGCACGCGCGCUACACUGUUCGACGCAGCGAGUCUUAACCUUGACCGAAAGGUUUGGGUAAUCUUCAGCAAAGUCGAACGUGAUGGGGAUCGAUCAUUGCAAUUAUUGAUCGUGAACGAGGAAUUCCUAGUAAGUGCAAGUCAUCAGCUUGCGCUGAUUACGUCCCUGCCCUUUGUACACACCGCCCGUCGCUACUACCGAUUGAGUGAUCCGGUGAAUAAUUCGGACUGCAGCACUGCUUGGUCUCCAGGCUUUGCAGCGGAAAGUUUAGUGAACCUUAUCACUUAGAGGAAGGAGAAGUCGUAACA
rnacentral:rRNA from 1 species